rnacentral:rRNA from 1 species
UACGUAGGGGGCAAGCGUUGUCCGGAAUUAUUGGGCGUAAAGAGCGUGUAGGCGGCCAGAUAAGUCCGCUGUGAAAUCUCGAGGCUCAACUUCGAGCUGUCGGUGGAAACUUUCUGGCUAGAGUUCGGUAGGGGAGACUGGAAUUCCUGGUGUAGCGGUGAAAUGCGCAGAUAUCAGGAGGAACACCGGUGGCGAAGGCGGGUCUCUGGGCCGAUACUGACGCUGAGGAGCGAAAGCGUGGGGAGCGAACAGG